rnacentral:misc_RNA from 1 species
AAGCGAUUAAGCGAAAUUAUGCCUGAUUUUGACGUUUGUUAGCUACUUUUUGCACAUCGAAACUCAGAAUAUAUAAAAUAAUUAAUAUUUCUCGAGGAACGACCAAUCGCGUGAUUCACGAGAACUAAUUAUUCAUGUAUUAUCGAGGAACCUUUGACCUGCUUACAUGCUUAUCCUCAAUACUCUGUCCAUUCUCCUGCAAGUUGCGUUCAUAGUGUUUAUGUCCUUACUUUCUAUGAAUAUAAUCAAACAAUUCAGUGGUUUUGCUAGAAAAAUGACUGUGAUUGCUCCUGCGCUGUUCGUGAACCAUGGCGGGGGACCCUUGCCGCUAUUAGGAGACAAGGAUCACAAAGAGUUGACGAAUUUCCUGAGGGAUGGCGUUAAGAAACAUAUGGAUCUUAAAAAUAUCAAAGCUAUCAUUUUAGUGACCGCACAUUGGGAGGAGAGUAAAGUGACGAUAUCAUCCAGCGACCAUCACGACCUUCUAUUUGACUACUACGGUUUUCCGCCUGAAUCGUACAGGUACACUUACAAUGCGCCUGGGGACCCAGCAUUGGCUAAGAGAAUCCAAGAAGUUUUAAAAAGAGAAGGUGUAGAUUCUAAAUUGGACCCGAAAAGAGGUUGGGACCAUGGAGUUUUUGUACCUAUGAUGCUUAUAAACCCUUCAGCAAACAUACCUAUAGUGCAAGUGUCUGUGUUAAGUAGUCAAGAUGCCGCAGAACAUUAUAAAAUUGGCCAAGCAUUGCAUGCUUUCCGUAAAGAGGGCAUUGCUGUUAUCGGCUCAGGAAUGUCGUAUCAUAACAUGAGAGAGUUCAUGAUGGCUAGAAAAGGGAAAAUCGUUAACGAAGAGUUUGAUAACUUUCUGACCAGAGUGUGUGGUUUGGAAGAUAGCGAACGCAAAGCUGAGUUAUUGAAGUGGAGAGAGCAACCAGGUGCUACGGAGGCCCACCCUAUGAGAGCGGCUGAGCACUUUAUGCCGCUGGUGGUUAUUGCUGGGGCUGGAGGGCCGAAGCCUGGUGAACGUGUCUUCCACUGGGAUAUGAGUGGUACUUUUAGGUUAAGCGGAUUCAUUUGGAAACAAGAAUAAAUAACACAACAUCAUAUAUUAUAUACAUAUAAUAAUAAGAUCACAACUAUAUCCCAAACAGCAUGGUGAGUUUUGGGUGAGUAUGGUCACGAGCAUUAAUAUUUAUACACUUUGGUACCAUGUCACAUUAACUUUUUUGACAAAUUGAACU